rnacentral:rRNA from 14 species
UCGGUGUUGGAGGAGAGAGGUUUUCUGUGAAGCCGGCGCGUGAGCGAUCCGGUGGAGAGAUCACUAGCGAGAAUGAUGACAUGAGUAGCGACAAAGAGUGUGAGAGACACUCUCGCCGAAAGUCCAAGGGUUCCUGCUUAAAGCUAAUCUGAGCAGGGUAAGCCGGCCCCUAAGCCGAGGCCGAAAGGCGUAGGCGAUGGGAACCAGGUUAAUAUUCCUGGGCCAGGAGGAUGUGACGGAUCGUGAAGGUUGUUCGCCCUUAUCGGAUUGGGCGGGCCGCUGAUCGGUUCCUGGAAAUAGCCCUCCAUUAGAUCGUACCCUAAACCGACACAGGUGGACUGGUAGAGCAUACCAAGGCGCUUGAGAGAACGAUGUUGAAGGAACUCGGCAAAAUACCUCCGUAAGUUCGCGAGAAGGAGGCCCGGGUUCAAGGCAACUUGGAUCCGGGGGCACAAACCAGGGGGUGGCGACUGUUUACUAAAAACACAGGGCUCUGCGAAGUCGCAAGACGACGUAUAGGGUCUGACGCCUGCCCGGUGCCGGAAGGUUAAGAGGAGAUGUUAUCUUCGGAGAAGCAUUGAAUUGAAGCCCCGGUAAACGGCGGCCGUAACAAUAACGGUCCUAAGGUAGCGAAAUUCCUUGUCGGGUAAGUUCCGACCCGCACGAAAGGCGUAACGAUUUGGACACUGUCUCGGAGAGGGACUCGGCGAAAUAGACUUGUCUGUGAAGAUGCGGACUACCUGCACCUGGACAGAAAGACCCUAUGAAGCUUUACUGUAACUUGAGAUUGGUUUCGGGUUUUAUUUGCGCAGAAUAGGUGGGAGGCUAUGAAAAAAUACUUGUGGGUGUUUUGGAGCCAUCAGUGAGAUACCACUCUUGUAAAACUAGAAAUCUAACUUUACACCAUUAUCUGGUUAAAAGACAGUCUCAGGCGGGCAGUUUGACUGGGGCGGUCGCCUCCUAAAAGGUAACGGAGGCGUACAAAGGUUUCCUCAAAUCGGUCAGACAUCGAUUGUAGAGCGUAAAGGCAUAUGGAAGCUUAACUGCGAGACCUACAAGUCGAGCAGAGACGAAAGUCGGUCAUAGUGAUCCGGUGGUCCCGCGUGGAAGGGCCAUCGCUCAACGGAUAAAAGGUACGCCGGGGAUAACAGGCUGAUACUGCCCAAGAGUCCAUAUCGACGGCAGUGUUUGGCACCUCGAUGUCGGCUCAUCUCAUCCUGGGGCUGGAGCAGGUCCCAAGGGUACGGCUGUUCGCCGUUUAAAGAGGUACGUGAGCUGGGUUUAGAACGUCGUGAGACAGUUCGGUCCCUAUCUGCCGUGGGUGCAGGAUACUUGAGAGGAGUUGCCCCUAGUACGAGAGGACCGGGGUGAACGAUCCACUGGUGGACCUGUUGUUGCGCCAGCAGCAGUGCAGGGUAGCUAUGAUCGGGCAGGAUAACCGCUGAAGGCAUCUAAGCGGGAAGCCCCCCUCAAAACAAGGUAUCCCUGAGGGCCGUGGAAGACCACCACGCCGAUAGGCCGGAGGUGUAAGCGCAGCAAUGCGUUCAGCUGACCGGUACUAAUCGCCCGACAGGCUU